GGAGGGUGCAAGCGUUAAUCGGAAUUACUGGGCGUAAAGCGCACGCAGGCGGUCUGUCAAGUCGGAUGUGAAAUCCCCGGGCUCAACCUGGGAACUGCAUUCGAAACUGGCAGGCUGGAGUCUUGUAGAGGGGGGUAGAAUUCCAGGUGUAGCGGUGAAAUGCGUAGAGAUCUGGAGGAAUACCGGUGGCGAAGGCGGCCCCCUGGACAAAGACUGACGCUCAGGUGCGAAAGCGUGGGGAGCAAACAGGAUUAGAUACCCUGGUAGUCCACGCUGUAAACGAUGUCGACUUGGAGGUUGUUCCCUUGAGGAGUGGCUUCCGGAGCUAACGCGUUAAGUCGACCGCCUGGGGAGUACGGCCGCAAGGUUA
rnacentral:rRNA from 1 species